CCUACGGGUGGCAGCAGUGAGGAAUAUUGGUCAAUGGCCGGAAGGCUGAACCAGCCAUGCCGCGUGAAGGUCAGUGCCCUAUGGGCGUUAAACUUCUUUUGUGCGGGAGCAAUAAUGGUCACGUGUGGCCAGACGAGAGUACCGUACGAAUAAGCAUCGGCUAACUCCGUGCCAGCAGCCGGGGGUAUACGGGGGUGGCAAGCGUUAUCCGGGUUUAUUGGGUUUAAAGGGUGCGUAGGCUGUGAGGUAAGUCAGCGGUGAAAUGCCUCCGCUCAACGGGGUGAAUUGCCAUUGAUACUGCCUGGCUGGAAUGCGGAUGCCGUGGGAGGAAUGUGUGGUGUAGCGGUGAAAUGCAUAGAUAUCACACAGAACACCGAUUGCGAAGGCAUCUCACGAAUCCGCGAUUGACGCUGAUGCACGAAAGCGUGGGUAUCAAACAGGAUUAGAUACCCGAGUAGUC
rnacentral:rRNA from 1 species